rnacentral:tRNA from 1 species
GGGCGAAUAGCUCAGCUGGGAGAGCGCCGCGUUCGCAACGCGGAGGUCGAGGGUUCGAGCCCCUUUUCGUCCACCA